rnacentral:rRNA from 1 species
UGGCGGCGUGCUUAACACAUGCAAGUCGAACGAUGAACCACUUCGGUGGGGAUUAGUGGCGAACGGGUGAGUAACACGUGGGCAAUCUGCCCUUCACUCUGGGACAAGCCCUGGAAACGGGGUCUAAUACCGGAUAAUACUUCUGCUCUCAUGGGCGGGGGUUAAAAGCUCCGGCGGUGAAGGAUGAGCCCGCGGCCUAUCAGCUUGUUGGUGAGGUAAUGGCUCACCAAGGCGACGACGGGUAGCCGGCCUGAGAGGGCGACCGGCCACACUGGGACUGAGACACGGCCCAGACUCCUACGGGAGGCAGCAGUGGGGAAUAUUGCACAAUGGGCGAAAGCCUGAUGCAGCGACGCCGCGUGAGGGAUGACGGCCUUCGGGUUGUAAACCUCUUUCAGCAGGGAAGAAGCGAAAGUGACGGUACCUGCAGAAGAAGCGCCGGCUAACUACGUGCCAGCAGCCGCGGUAAUACGUAGGGCGCAAGCGUUGUCCGGAAUUAUUGGGCGUAAAGAGCUCGUAGGCGGCUUGUCACGUCGAUUGUGAAAGCCCGGGGCUUAACUCCGGGUCUGCAGUCGAUACGGGCUAGCUAGAGUGUGGUAGGGGAGAUCGGAAUUCCUGGUGUAGCGGUGAAAUGCGCAGAUAUCAGGAGGAACACCGGUGGCGAAGGCGGAUCUCUGGGCCAUUACUGACGCUGAGGAGCGAAAGCGUGGGGAGCGAACAGGAUUAGAUACCCUGGUAGUCCACGCCGUAAACGGUGGGAACUAGGUGUUGGCGACAUUCCACGUCGUCGGUGCCGCAGCUAACGCA